UCUCAAAGGAAGGCAGCAGCUGCGUGGGAGAUACGAAGGAAAUGAAAAAGGGAAGCAAUAUUAUCCUAGUCUUUUUGGUCUGUCUUCUCGUCUCCUGCUGCUCUGGCUUCCUCUGGAGGGUUAGGUUGAGAGGAAGACAGUUUCCUCAACCUUCAGAGGAGGCUCUCAGUGUCCAAGGAUGCUGAGCCCGGCAGGCAACUUGUAAAUCGAUUCCUGACAAAGAUCCAUUCUACCUUACAAGUUGUUCUAAGGGGGACUUGGUCUUCUUUGGUCUGGGGCUUGGCAGGCAGGACUGGUUGUACAUCCCACAGCAGGGCCUUGGAAUCACGGCCUUUCUGACAUUCAACAGCUACCAGAGCAGCCUAAGAAUUCUCAGCCAGCAGUAGGAUAAUCGGAUAAUUUACCAUCGGAAAUUCCAAAACAACCGCAAUGAACUGCAAUUGUUCUUCUCUCGUUAGACAGAUUCACUGAGAAAUCACAGGUCAAUCUGAAAGAAUAGCCUUAUGGCUUAUAUAUUACAUGGUUGUACAAUCACACGAGGCAGCAAAUGACAGCAGGAACAUUGGGACACAGCUUCUGCUCCUUUGUCAAGGGGAGGGGCAGCCAAGGAUUUGAUGAACUGAGUCUGCUGCUCGCUCUUUCUGCUGAAGUGGCGUUUAGUAAGCUAAGCUAGUUUAACAGAGGAUUUCAGAAUCAUUUAAUUCUAAAUUCGGUGUUUCAUCCACCUGCAUGGAGAGAAAGCUCGAGCAGGAGGCCACCAUUUGCAAGUACCCCAGCAUGCCUGGACUCACACUUCACCGUGACUCCCAUCUGCUGAAAGUCUUUGGACCCCGACAAAGUACGUAGCAGCACAGACGUCAUGCCCUUUGACUUCCAGGUGAUCUGAAACCCCACAGCCUUCUUUUCGGCACGUGGCACACUGACUUGAUUGAUAACCUAAAAUGAUCACACCCUACAAUUUGCUUCUGAGAUGAAAAGAAAUCGGGCAAAAGGAGCAUGUUAAUGGACAGCUGGCAUGGCUGGUGGCCGUAGUCCAAUGUCACAGCACCUGGGUCUCAUUCUGGCUCCAUCACAGUACAGUAUAAGUUCAGGCAGGUUACCCGAGCAGUAGAUGUUAGAUCCUGGGAUCUGACUGGGCUGCUACGGGGAUUAUGAAAGAUAACUCUAAAUGGUCAUUGGAGGAGCCUAACAAACAAUAACUGCUUAGCAAUAUUACAGCCAUCAUCCCUGUGGCUUUAACCAACUGUCAAGGUUAGUUACCACAGUUCUGCUGCCUUCAACUGUUUUGAUGGCUCAGGUGAGGCACACACGCUCUUUCAGCUCCCGGAAGGCCCUGAGAAAUGGUGCCUCUUACUGAUCGGGGUACCCUCCCCCAUGUUUUACUACCAGUUCUCUUAAUUUCCCACCUUGGAGGUGUGGGAUUUGUUCUUCUAUGUUUGUCGUUGAGAUGGAGUGCUGCUACGUUGCCCAGGCUACACUUGAACUUGUGUUCCUACUCAAGAGGGUCUGAGUAGGGAGGUCUCUAGGCAUGUAUUGCUCUAGCCAACUUUCACGGGAAGCAUUUUAAACAUUACAUUUAUCAUUCAAUUAAUUCAGACCUAAUGCAGAAGUUAAAAUAAAAGACAAACAGAAGCCGGGCGUUGGUGGCGCACGCCUUUAAUCCCAGUACUUGGGA